rnacentral:rRNA from 1 species
AUUGAACGCUGGCGGCAUGCCUUACACAUGCAAGUCGAACGGUAACAGGUCUUCGGAUGCUGACGAGUGGCGAACGGGUGAGUAAUACAUCGGAACGUGCCUAGUAGUGGGGGAUAACUACUCGAAAGAGUGGCUAAUACCGCAUGAGAUCUACGGAUGAAAGCAGGGGAUCGCAAGACCUUGUGCUACUAGAGCGGCCGAUGGCAGAUUAGGUAGUUGGUGGGAUAAAAGCUUACCAAGCCGACGAUCUGUAGCUGGUCUGAGAGGACGAUUAGCCACACUGGGACUGAGACCCGACCCAGACUCCUACGGGAGGCAGCAGUGGGGAAUUUUGGACAAUGGGCGAAAGCCUGAUCCAGCAAUGCCGCGUGUAGGAUGAAGGCCUUCGGGUUGUAAACUGCUUUUGUACGGAACGAAAAGCCCCGGGUUAAUACCCUGGGGUCAUGACGGUACCGUAAGAAUAAGCACCGGCUAACUACGUGCCAGCAGCCGCCGUAA